ACCACAUAAUGAGAGUAGCGCACUGGUGAGUAACACGUGGGAACAUACCUUGAAGUGGGGGACAACAGAGGGAAACUUCUGCUAAUACGCAUAAUCCCUGAGGGGGAAAGAUUUAUCGCUUUAAGAUUGGCCCGCGGAAGAUUAGGUAGUUGGUGGGGUAAAGGCCUACCAAGCCGACGAUCUAUAGCUGGUCUGAGAGGACGAACAGCCACAUUGGAACUGAGACACGGUCCAGACUCCUACGGAAGGCAGCAG
rnacentral:rRNA from 1 species